rnacentral:rRNA from 1 species
GAUGUACGCUAGCUACAGGCUUAACACAUGCAAGUCGAGGGGUAACGAGAGGAAAUCUUGCUUUCCUUGUCGACGACCGGCGCACGGGUGAGGAAUGCGUAUCCAACAUUCCCCCAACUCGGCAAGAACCUUGCGAACGUAAGAAUAAUAGCCUACAAUGUCCGAAGAUUUCAUCUGACGAGGAACAAAGAUUUAUCGGUUGCGGAUGGGUGUGCGUCCGAUUAGCUUGUUGGCGGGGUAACGGCCCACCAAGGCAACGGUCAGUAGGGGUUCUGAGAGGAAGGUCCCCCACAUUGGAACUGAGACACGGUACAAACUCCUACGGGAGGCAGCAGUGAGGAAUAUUGGGCAAUGGGCGGAAGCCUGAACCAGCCAAGUAGCGUGCAGGAUGACGGCCCUAUGGGUUGUAAACUGCUUUUAUACAGGAAUAAAGUUAGCCACCUGUGGUUAUUUGUAGGUACUGUAUGAAUAAGGACCGGCUAAUUCCGUGCCAGCCGCCGCGGUAA